UAUGUGUGGGAAGAAGCAUGGUAUAGGGCAAAGGGCUGGCAUGCUGAGCCCUUGGAUCAUUUCUUGAGUCUGCUGCCGAAAGGCUGCAAGAUCUGGGCAUGUCAGAUGACCUACAUGGGUCCUACCAUCUGUACAUUACAUGGUUCUCACCAUCUGUACAUUGGGGUAAUGUGCAUGCUUUUCUAAUCCUGUUUUCAGGAAGCAGAAUCGGUGUUUUGGAGCUUGUGGCAGUUUUAAAGAUGAUGAGACUUAGGAUCCUACGUUUUCUAGGCAGAUUUGAAAAUUGCCUUCUCUGGCUUUAUUGUCUUCCUGUGAGUCACUGCAGUCUCUCUGCUGUGCAGGUACCAGCAACUAUGAUACUGGUUAUUGGUGUGGCCUUGGAAGAGACCGAGUCCCUGACCAUGCAGUGAGACUCAUGGAGCAUGCUGGAAGUCAGUGGGGCAGGGACUGCACAGAGCUUUCUGCAGUGUCAGGCGUUACCCUGCUCUGUCAUAUGCCUGAAUAUUCAACAGUGAAAAUUCCAUUAGCGGAGAUAUUAAGGUGAUAGCAGGGGAUGAAUGAAGUUUGUGCCUCAUUUUACUUAAUUCAUUUUGCUUCGAAUGAUCUGCUUAUGAUGCUCAUGUAGGCAGGUUGUCCUUCCCAAGUAGCACUUGGGAGAGACCUGGGGAAUAUUGCAUACCUGACAUUAGUGUGAGGAAGUGUCUGUAUUUUGCUGUCCUCAUUCUGUGCCAUGCUCUUCUCUGUUCAUGGGGGAGCUUGGAGGGUGCCAUGGUGAAGCUACCUGACAUUUCUCCUCACCAGGUCAUGGAAAACAUGGUUUUGUCAAUGCAUUAAAAAAAAAAAUAAAAAAAUGUCAAGAAUCUAUCUACGAGAAGCUCAAACUCCCUUGCAUCACAGAUCAUAGACAGGAAUCUUGCCUUGGUUGAGGCAAAUAAUAUACUCUUUCCUGACAUGUGAGAAUUUGCCUGAAUUCAGCCAAAUUCUAAAUAAUUAUAGAAGAUAGCAGCUGCUGCAUGUCCGAGGGAGGUGGGCUAGGGUUUCUCUAUUGAAGUGGCUAAGAUACCUCCCAAAAUGUACAUACGUUGGCCUUUGUGUUUGAUCUGUGUGGACGAGCACCUUCUGAUGUGGUUAACUGUGGGCUGUGAAGGGAAGGAGGUGGUUUCUGAGGGACCUUUGCUCACUUGUCACAGAAGUAGAAGGCAGACGAAUGGAGCAGUGAGUAGCAUAUUGGAGAACUCACUUCACUCCUAGCCCCUGUCAGCAGCCCUGUGUGCAUUCAGCAAGUCGCUUUCAGCCUGGCUUGUCAUAGGAGAUCCCCAAAUAUCUAUUCCUCAUAUUGUGAUUAUUUUUUUUUCCAAGAGAUGAGCCUGGGAUCUGAGCUGCAGAAGUGCUGAUGAUGCACAGGGUGCCAGUGGGAGUUGUGCUUUGAACAUGUAAAGUGGCCCAGAAAACCAGGCCCUUGGGGGUCCUAACAGAGGCACUCAGAGGUACAAGAAGCUGCAACUCUUGAUUUCCAUGUUUCUUAGCUUCCAGUUUGGAAAGCAAGGAUGCUUGACAAUAAAUGUGCUUGUGAACUGCCUAGCCACUGCUCUCUGUGAGCCUGUCGAAGAGCCUGUAUGGAAACCACCAGCUCUGUAUUCCGAGCAGGGCUUGGCUUGAGGCCACACGUUGAACAAUGAGGAGAAAACAAAAUAUUGAAUAGCUGCUUGUUCAGCAAACCCAGUUCCUCUUGGCCAUGCAGGGCCCUGCGUGAGGGAGUAUAUGAGGUGGGGCAGUUUUCCCUUAGCGCUGGGGUCUAGGACCAGCCUCUAUACGUAGGGUCUCAGGUGGUACAGGGGGAAGCCCACACCAGCACACUUGCUCCCAGCCUGUACGGUGGAGAGCAGAGCCAGCUGGGGACUUCUUUGCUAUCCCCAGGUUGCAGUUCCUUCCCCACCUGAGGGGUAUACCAGCUGCAUCUAUCAGAUGAGUUUUAUCAGUAAAUUAAUACUACUUUGCUCUUGGCUGCCGUUUUAGAUUCUUCUCUGGCACCUCAUACAGUGGUGUCUGAGAGUAGGGUUGGCCCACUUGGCAGACAGUGGGCAAGAUAUGAGGACUGGUUUAGGUUUGGGCUGUUGUUGGUUGGUUGUCUUUUUCCACUUUCCCACUUGCAGCUUACAAUGAUUAUGUCAUUUUUUCUGUCUUUCACCCAAGAAUCAUGUGGCACAAAUGUCCUUGUUAGAUGUCUUUCUGGGAUGUCUGAGAAGAGCAACCCACUGAGACAAGCCUUAUUCCUGGUGUUCAGGGAACCCAAGUUAAGUACCCUGCUCUGGCACAGGCUUUUUGUGUGAUCUUGCGAAAAUAAUUUAGAAUUUCUCUGUGUUGGUGUUGCCCCCUGCCCUGCAUAAAAAGUCUUAGGGAAGAGUUAAUUCCUAAAGUGUUGCAAACAGAAAUAAUGAUUAUGAGGAGCAGGUACGAAACUGAAAGGGGCUGUGUAAAUGCUGUAGGUGGCUUUGAAGACGUCUACUUCUUCAGUGGAUGUGUGCAGUGUAUCUUUUAAAGUUGUUUUUGACUGAGUUUUGCAGGAGGCUUUCAGGAUGCUGUGUAGAAACCCCCCAGGGGUAGGUAACUUUCUGCAGCUGUGAACUGCAUGAAGGAGCUCUGUUCCCCUCAUUAAAAAAAAAAAAAAAAAAAAAACCAAACAAAAAAACCCCAGACUACGGCCAUUUCGUCUUUCCCAAAGAUGAAACACAAACAGAUGCCAGUAUGGCUGUGUCCACUUCUCUGUUGAAGGUGGAGAAUGUGAACUUUGGAAAAGGUCUGGAUUAUCCUGGGAAACCAGCUUUGGCCAGAGCCUUGGGAGGAAUUGAUACCAUGUCCAUCUAAGAACAACAGAAAAACUAGCCAGAGCUUGGGGCCAGGUUAAUCUGUUGCAUCUCUGUUGACAUCAAUGAGAAGGUAGAACAGUCUGUUCUGUCUCCCCACUUCAGUUCCUCAUGGAGAAGCAUUUAUUCUGGAUCUUGGGGCCAGACAGUGUAGGGGAGAUCAUGGAAUAGUAAUGACUACGAUAACUUUUGUGUCUAGUAUCACUUGGAAGGAAACCUUUUGUUAGAUCAGCUGAUAUGCAAGGCUGAGGUGAGGCUCUUGUUAGACUUGAGGCUGGUACUUGCAAAGGGCAUAGGAACAGCAGCAGAAGAGCUUCUGCUCCAGCUAUGCAAUCUCCUUUUCAGCUGCAUCCUGCUCCUCACUGCAGGAGCUCUUGGCAAUGUUGAGUACCAUAAGCUGCUGUACUGCUAUGGCCUCUGUGCAGCCCUCUGAAAGCCAGGCUCCUAGGCCUCCCAGAGACCAGUUUAUGGCCAGCAGCAUCACCUGACCCACCAGUAUUUCUGUUGUGAUGGAGAUGGAGCUCUUGGCGUCCUGGGCUCCUCUGGAGUCAGGAACUGGUGCCAGAUACAGACAGGAGGGUGACCAGCUACAAGGAGAUGAGAGGCUCACUGGAUCUAAAUGCCAUCUUGUAUCACACAGGACAAGGACUCCGAUUGCUGUGUUUUCCCAAUAGAAAAUAGUUACCUCACUAAACAGUCAAACCAAAAUGCAGAUAUGCUGCAAAUGCAUUUGUUUGACUAUUUAUCAAUAUUAAAUGUGUAAACCAGAAAGGUCAGUAGUGUUUAAUGUCAUGUGGCAACUUUGUGAUUUUUAAUUACAAUAAAAAACCCAAUGACAAAUGAA